rnacentral:sRNA from 29 species
GGGACAGGGGGGUCCCCGCCGCCAACGACGGGGCCUGUCCCGGAGGUUGCGCGCACGCGUGGCCACGUGGUUGUCGCUCGGGGGUGAUCGCCG